UCCUCCCACCUCAGAUUCCCAAAGCGCUGGGAUUACAUAUGUGAGCCACCGCACCCAGCCUAAAUAUUUCUUUUUAUUAUUAUUUUUUUAUUUUUAUCACCCAGCCCAAAAUGUCAGUAAAUAUUUCUACCUCUUGGCUCAGGGAAAUGUUAAGAAUGUAACAGUUGGCACAAGAAGUUCUCUUAAUCAUUCACUGAGUCAUUCAGCAAAUGUGAUGGAGCCUUCACUACCCCUGCCCUUCCAGGGGCAGGUGACGCAGUGGUCAAAAAGACGAACAUUGUCCCGGCCCUUCUGUUUAUAUGGGUGGGGGGGGGUGGUGGGAUUCGUUUGCUUUUCAUUGAAGUGUAAUUUACACACAGUAAAAUGCCAGUAAAGCCCCACUGGUUCCCAGCCUCAAGUGCAUCCCCACCUCAUGCAGAACCUUCGGGAAGGGCCAGAAGGUCUAGGUGAGGAAUUCUCCCUUUGCCAGCCCUUCUCCAGCCUACCCAGUCCUCCUAACCUUGAACUCAUCCAUGCGAAUCUGCAGGUUCUCCACCGCCUUGUCCAAAGUGAUGUAGCGAUCCUUCAUCAUCUCUAUUUGGUUGCCCCAAAUUCUCUCAAGUUCUUCCUCCUAAAAGGGGGAGACACAGACACCCCAGGCCUCUGCUUCUGAAGUUACCAUGGCCGGGAAGGGGCCUGAGGGAGGGUUGAGGCCAAGAAGAAUGUACCAGACCAGGCUGGGCGUGGUGGCUCAUGCCUGUAAUCCCAGCACUUUGGGAGGCCAAGAUGGGUAGAUCAACUGAGGUCAGGAGCUCGAGACCAGCCUGCCCAACACGGCGAAACCAGUCUCUACAAAAAAUACACUCCAGAGCACCAUGUCCUCGGUUUUGGGGAUGGUUUUAAACUUAUUCUGGAGAGAAGCCUGCAAGGUGGGGGUAGAAAAUGAGGGCUGUGAGCCUGGAGGGGGCAGUGUCCCCCACACCUGCAAAGAAACCUUUCCAGGCUGUGUUCUCCUCCUUGCACCUCCCUACCCUCAGCACCCAGGACCCGGGAGGUUGGGGGGUCCCAGGGGGAGUGGGGGAAGACAGGGAUGGUGGCCCUCACCACUUCCCGCUGCAGUGCAACCAUCUUCCAGUUCUGUAUUUUGAAGUCUUCAGCAAAGAUGUCCAUUCUUUCUGGGUGUACCUGUCAAAGGAACUGAGUCUGUGGACUGGGGGUCCAGGUUCUGUCCCACCCCUGCCUUUUCCCGUGGCUCUAGGUGACUAAGAGCUUGAGAAGGAAGAACGGGUUCCAAAUCCAGUGUUUCCCAAGGAGUGGGAAAGGGUUCCAUGGGCAAACAAGUUUGGGAAAUGCUGGGCUUGAAAGCAUGUCAGGCCGGGCACAGUGUCUCAUGCCUGUAACCCCAGCACUUUGAGAGGUCAAGGUGGGUGGAUAACUUGAGGUCAGGAGUUCGACAGCAGCCUGGCCAACAUGGUGAAACACCGUCUCUACUAAAAAUACAAAAAUUAGCUGGGCCUGAUGGCAUGCGCCUGUAAUCCCAGCUAUCAGGAAGCUGAGGCAGGAG
rnacentral:lncRNA from 1 species